rnacentral:tRNA from 1 species
GCGGGUAUGGCGAAAUGGCAGACGCGCCGGACUUAGAAUCCGGUGCCGAGAGGCGUGAAGGUUCAAGUCCUUUUACCCGCACCA